UCGGUGGGGGUGUCUUAACACUACUGGUGGAAGUCAGCAACAUCUUCCUCACCAUUCGCAUGAUGAUGAAAAUCAGUAAUGCCCAGGAUCAUCUCCUCUACCGGGUUAACAAAGGACCCUGGGCACCUUCCUGCUGGGUAUCCUGCUCAUGCUGGACGUGAUGAUCAUAAUCUACUUUUCCCGCCUCCUCCGCUCUGACUUCUGCCCUGAGCAUGUCCCCAAGAAGCAACACAAAGACAAGUUCUUGACUGAGUGAGGGGCACAGAGCCUGGGACAACAAAAACGGACAAGGCCAGAAACAGCUUCAUAUGGACACUGGGACUUAGCCCCAAGCCUGGGUGUCCUCUGAGGCCAGCCUCUCCACCUUCUGAGCCUGCGCCCACACUAUUGAAAACACUAAUGAAAGUA
rnacentral:lncRNA from 1 species